AUUGAACGCUGGCGGCAGGCUUAACACAUGCAAGUCGAGCGGGGUGAUGGUGCUUGCACUAUCACUUAGCGGCGGACGGGUGAGUAAUGCUUAGGAAUCUGCCUAUUAGUGGGGGACAACAUCUCGAAAGGGAUGCUAAUACCGCUUACGUCCUACGGGAGAAAGCAGGGGAUCACUUGUGACCUUUCGCUAAUAGAUGAUCCUAAGUCGGAUUAGCUAGUUGGUGGGGUAAAGGCCUACCAAGGCGACGACCUGUAGCGGGUCUGAGAGGAUGAUCCGCCACACUGGGACUGAGACACGGCCCAGACUCCUACGGGAGGCAGCAGUGGGGAAUAUUGGACAAUGGGGGGAACCCUGCUCCAGCCAUGCCGCGUGUGUGAAGAAGGCCUUAUGGUUGUAAAGCACUUUAAGCGAGGAGGAGGCUCUUUUGGUUAAUACCCAAGAUGAGUGGACGUUACUCGCAGAAUCAGCACCGGCUAACUCUGUGCCAGCCGCCGCCGUAA
rnacentral:rRNA from 1 species